AUGAACGCUGGCGGCGUGCCUAAUACAUGCACGUCGAGCGAACGGACGAGAAGCUUGCUUCUCUGAUGUUAGCGGCGGACGGGUGAGUAACACGUGGAUAACCUACCUAUAAGACUGGGAUAACUUCGGGAAACCGUAGCUAAUACCGGAUAAUAUUUUGAACCGCAUGGUUCAAAAGUGAAAGACGGUCUUGCUGUCACUUAUAGAUGGAUCCGCGCUGCAUUAGCUAGUUGGUAAGGUAACGGCUUACCAAGGCAACGAUGCAUAGCCGACCUGAGAGGGUGAUCGGCCACACUGGAACUGAGACACGGUCCAGACUCCUACGGGAGGCAGCAGUAGGGAAUCUUCCGCAAUGGGCGAAAGCCUGACGGAGCAACGCCGCGUGAGUGAUAAAGGUCUUCGGAUCGUAAAACUCUGUUAUUAGGGAAGAACAUAUGUGUAAGUAACUGUGCACAUCUUGACGGCACCUAAUCAGAAAGCCACGGCUAACUACGUG
rnacentral:rRNA from 1 species